rnacentral:rRNA from 1 species
AUUGAACGCUGGCGGCAUGCCUUACACAUGCAAGUCGAACGGCAGCGGGGGAGAAGCUUGCUUUUCCUGCCGGCGAGUGGCGAACGGGUGAGUAAUACAUCGGAACGUGCCCUGUAGUGGGGGAUAACUAGUCGAAAGAUUAGCUGAUACCGCAUACGACCUGAGGGUGAAAGUGGGGGACCGCAAGGCCUCAUGCUAUAGGAGCGGCCGAUGUCUGAUUAGCUAGUUGGGGGGGUAAAGGCCUACCAAGGCGACGAUCAGUAGCUGGUCUGAGCGGACGAUGAGCCACACUGGGACUGGGACACGGCCCAGACUCCUACGGGAGGCAGCAGUGGGGAAUUUUGGACAAUGGGCGAAAGCCUGAUCCAGCAAUGCCGCGUGUGUGAAGAAGGCCUUCGGGUUGUAAAGCACUUUUGUCCGGAAAGAAAUGGCUCUGGUUAAUACCUGGGGUCGAUGACGGUACCGGAAGAAUAAGGACCGGCUAACUACGUGCCAGCCGCCGCCGUAA